CUUUCAUUCCUAAACCACUCCUACGCCAUUAUUAUUAAUUGAAUACAAUAAGAAAUACAGAAAAUGUCAAAAUAAACGUGAUGUUUUCUAUCCGAUGGUAUCAGUGAACAUUGCGCAGAACAAACGUCAAUUAAACGAAGAAAUACGUCAAUGCCGGCACUUGAUGACUUAAUAGGCUUAGGAAUUAGUCGAUGCGUGUUAUUCCUUGAUAUAAUAAAUCCAGUGACAGUGUUUCGUAAAAGUGUACCGGUCGAGUCUAUUCCCGGAGGAAGUUAAAUGUCAGAUUUUAUGGGCCUUGAACGAACAAUGUCCGAAUAUGAUCCGUGAAACGUGUUUCGCAAACUCCUUGCCCCAGUAAUAAAAGCCUCGAGGCUGCAUUUACAAGUUCAAAGAACUCGCAGGGCGUGCGUUCUGGAAAACUUCUGCUCCAUUAUACAUAUUAAAACGAUCGUUUCUGGUGCAUAGUUUGUGAUAUUGUUCACAUCUACUGAUUUUGCAAACGUAAUACUUUUCCAUUUCUAACAAGAUCAUAAAUGAGUUUUUACGUCAAGCGCAACCCGGGCGCGGAUUUAAUAACAAUCGGGAGGGAAAUUGGUUCAACUCGCAGCGACAAAAGCGAGUCGACCGUUUCGCACGAUGCAAUAAUAGUCUAACGAAAGCGAGAGAAUACGGUUUCUACGUGCCCACGAAAUUGCUACAAUUAUAUCGCGGCACCGUGAUCAGUCUUUUCUUACAAGAACCGGUACACCCGCGAAAACUUUCCAUUUCCAACGAUAAACUGCUAAUGAACUUUGUUCAACGACGCGACGUACCGAUCCUGUGAGUGAAAACACGGAUUUCCAGUGAAACUUCCUGCUUUUGUCCGAACGGAAGAUAUUUUUCUAUAUCGUAAAUCACGCGGUUGUUUCAGAUUUAAGAACAAACAGAGAAAGUUUCCUUUGUUCUUAAACGAGCAUCCGUAUUAGUAACACACGGUAAUUAAUAUUCAAUGGAGAAUUAUUUGUAAAGAUGAUCGUGGGAAAUCUGUUUGGUAUGAAUACUUCUGUCUUCAACUUUAAGUUCAGAUUAGGUUUCAAUCUUGAUUAUUCGAUAUUUUGUUGAAUGACAGUGUAUCUAAUAAGUAUUUGAUUGUAACAAAAAAGUAGACACGGGAAUAACAAAUA